AUGUCCCAUCCCUGUGCCCUGGGAAGGGCUGUGGGGACACUUAGGUUUUUCCCAUCUCUGUGCUCGGGGAAGGGCUAUGGGGACAUUUGGGAUGGGACAUUUGGGAUGGGCUGUGGGCAUAUUUUGGUUGGGCUGUGGGGACAUUUUGGGAUGGGUUGUGGGUACAUUUUGGGAUGUCCCCUGUGCUCUGGGAAGGGCUGUGGGGACACUUUGGGAUGGGACAUUUUGGGAAGGGCUGUGGGGACAUUUUGGGAUGGGACAUUUUGGGAAGGGCUGUGGGGACAUUUUGGGAUGGGACAUUUUGGGAAGGGCUGUGGGGACAUUUUGGGAUGGGACAUUUUGGGAAGGGCUGUGGGGACAUUUUGGGAUGUCCCCUGUGCUCCUGGCGUUCCCCCCCAGCUCCUGGCCCCUGCUGUGACCUGGGGCAUCUCCCCACGCUCAUUCCCAGUUUCUCCACACGUGGCCACCCCACAUUUCCCUCUCCCAGCUGCCUCCUUACCCGGGGCUGGGGUGACACAGGGGACCCAAAUCCUGCCCAGCACUGCCACAGCAGCUGGGAUUUCACUCCAGGGCACCCCUGGGUGCUGCCCACCCCAGGGCAGGGUGCUGCUGCCAUUCCUGCCUGCAGGAUCACCCCAGCCCCACGGGGGGGGCGGGGGGGAGUUUUUUCCGGGGGGGGGGGGGGGGGGGGGGGGGGGGGGGGGGGGGGGGGGGGGGGGGGGGGGGGGGGGGGGGGGGGGGGGGGGGGGGGCACGGGGGGGGCGGGGGGGAGUUUUUUCCCCGUUUUUCACAUCCCUGGGUGUCUGUGCCCCCCCAGGUGCCUCGGAUCAUCCUGUGGCUCAUGGUGGAGCUCGCCAUCAUCGGCUCCGACAUGCAGGAGGGGGGGGGGGGGGGGGGGGGGGGGGGGGGGGGGGGGGGGGGGGGGGGGGGGGGGGGGGGGGGGGGGGGGGGGGGGGGGGGGGGGGGGGGGGGGGGGGGGGGGGGGGGGGGGGGGGGGGGGGGGGGGGGGGGGGGGGGGGGGGGGGGGGGGGGGGGGGGGGGGGGGGGGGGGGAAAACUCCCUGAUUUCCUGUGCAUUGCCCUGAAUCAGCAGCCAGGAUGUGACUCACCCUGGCUGGCUGGGCUCUGA
rnacentral:lncRNA from 1 species